rnacentral:lncRNA from 1 species
ACAAAAUUAUAACCUUCUAAUAAACAUUGCAUUUGUACUUAGAAUUAGAACAAAGCAUGUCUACGCUGUAUGUAGUAUAUAUAUAAUAUAAUAUUAUGGCCAAAAUCUCUAAUCUCUCACUUUGACAAAAAAAAAAAAAAAAAAAAAAAAUAGAUGGCCAUUUGUUUCUGCUUAUAAGCCAUGCCACCUGUUCAGGACUGCAUCAUGCAUAAUUAUGGGAUAAAACAACAACUUAUAAUAAAAUAACAGUAAUACUACUCAAAACUUAAAACUUACUCAAAGAAAAUGCCUUAGAAUUCAUUUCUUCCUUGAGUUGAGCAACAUUGUUUUGAGAUCAUCAUAUCAGCCACUCAGCCUAGCUUUCAACAUUACUUGCUCCAAAUUACCAAGUUUUUCCAUGCUAUCAGGGGGUAAAAAAAAGCAACAAUCUAAGAAUUUUGUGGAAAAUUGGAAAAAGACACAAGAAAAUUCAAUGGCUGUGCUUACUUAUUUGCUUAUCUCCCAUUAAAAUAGGUAACACCAUGCUCAUGUGAUGGUUGUACAUACUUGGAUGUAGCAGAAGUAAAAUCCUUAUUCACAACGAUUAUGAAAGGUGUAUGAGAAGGUAUAUUGUAUAAGAAAUGUUAUGAAAUAUAAGAGUAAUGCAGUGUAGGCUUAUACCUCCAAGAGUGGUCCAGGUUGAAGUUUCUGACUGUGACAAGAAAGUUCAACUUUAUGCUUAGCUCCUUGUCCAUGUACUCAUCCAGCAAAUAAUUACUACAUACAAGAAUUCCAUUAUAGAAAUGCAGUAAACAUGAGAAUUCCGAACUCUCGAAUGAAUUAGAAUCAAUUUUUUUAUUUGUUCCAAAAUAUGAAAAAGAAUUUCAUUAUUGUGAAUUCUAAUUCUUGUCAUUCCAAACACAUUCUUAAGAUCUUCUACACUAAGAAAUUGGAAACAAAUAACUCAAUUACUCUACAAGAUCUUUCUUUAAGCAUGCCCAAAGAGUAUAGAAUGAUAAGAGCAUUUUUAAUGUCAAACUUGUACUUCAAUGGCAAUUAAUUCUCCAGGAACCCUUUAAGUUUCAACAGGAAAAAGCAAAGUACAUGACAAAUUUAAACAUUAAAUUCAAAUAGAGAGUUUAGAGAAAUAGAAGCAUCCUUACAGGAUUGGAGGUGCAGCCCCCAAUGCAACAAAUUCACGAGUCCCAGUAGAAUCACUGGAUGUCC